CGAGGACCGAAUGGUGCUGCUCUAGGUGUUGGUGCUCAGCACUCUCAGUGUUAUGCUCCAUGGUAUGGGUCUGUCCCUGGCUUGAAAGUUGUGGCGCCAUAUUCAUCUGAAGAUGCGAGAGGACUUCUAAAAGCAGCUAUCAGAGAUCCCGAUCCGGUUGUUUUCCUUGAGAAUGAGUUAUUGUAUGGCGAGUCUUUUCGUGUGUCGGAAGAAGUUCUUGAUCCAAACUUUACCCUUCCCAUAGGGAAAGCAAAGAUAGAGAAAGAGGGGAGAGAUGUGACAAUUACAGCAUUCUCACGGAUGGUUGGCUAUGCUCUCAAGGCUGCAGAGACGCUUGCGAAGGAGGAUAUAGAUGCUGAGGUCAUUAAUAUUAGGUCAAUUAGGCCAUUAGACAGAUCUUCAAUCAAUGCUUCGGUGAGAAAAACAAACAGGCUAGUUACUGUUGAAGAAGGAUUUCCUCAACAUGGUGUCGGCGCUGAAAUCUGUGCUUCAGUUGUCGAGGAAAUAUUCGAGUACCUUGACGCCCCGGUUGAAAGGAUUACUGGUGCAGAUGUUCCAAUGCCUUAUGCUGCCAAUCUUGAAAGGAUGGCUCUUCCACAGGUUGAAGACAUUGUUCGAGCAGCCAAGAGGGUGUGUUACAAAUCCAUUUCCAUGGCAGCUGCUGUUUGAGUUUUGUAAUCUCCACUCCUACUUGCACGCUUUUAGUUUUGUAAUAUAAAUGUGAAGAUGUUCAGCCUAGCCAAUUAGGGCUUUUUAUUACUUGAGAUGAAUUCGAAUAUAAUGCAUCUUGGUGGAAAAUAAUUAGUAUUGGACUAAGAAUAAUGUUUGUGGGAAAUGCCCAACUGGUAUUGGACAGAAUAUGCUAGAGACCUG
rnacentral:misc_RNA from 1 species